rnacentral:lncRNA from 1 species
GCACAGGUUCAACCCAGAAGAUUUCAAUAAAUUGAAAAGAGAAAUUGAAGCAUAGCCAAUAUGGAAAAAUAUAUGAUCGAAGACUAUGUGACCAAGGUGACCUUGGAAUUUCAUCCACUGAAGAGCCAGAGUCUAUUUUCCUUUCCUUUGAAUCUGGGCUGGCCCUGUAACUUGUUUUGGGCAAUAGAAUGUGGUGGAAGUGAUGGUGGGCCAGUUCCAGGUCCAGGUCUCAAAAGGCCUUGAGUGUUUUCACUUACUUCUGUGUUUGCCACGAGAACAUAUCCAGGUUAUCCUGUUGGAAGAUGGGACAUGAGGAGCAGAGUUGAGUCAUUCUAGUCAUUGCAGCUGAGGUUAUCCUAGAUUAGCUGAGCUGCAGAUGACUGUAAGAUCCAUGAGUGAGUCCAGUUGAAAUCAGAAGCACUGUCCAUCUGAGCCCAGCCUAAAUUGCCAACCCACAGACUUGUGAACACAAUAAAUGGUUAUUGUUUAA